UACCCUAUUAUAUUAAUUACCUUAGGUAGUAAAAAAUUAUAUAAAAACCUAUAUAGUUUGGCGGCAUUUUAUCAUGUUAGAGGAACCUGUCUUUUAAUCGUAACCCCACGUUAUUUUUCACUUUUUCUAAAAUCUUAUAUACCGCCAUCUUAAGAAUUAUCUUAAAAAAUUUCUCAAAAUAUAAAUAUAGAAAGUUAGGUAAAGGUGUAGACUAUAAAAAAGUUAAGAUGUGUUACUUUAAAUUAAUAUUUAAGAAAAAUAUCUUAAAAGAAUUUGGNAAAGAGGAUUUAAAAGUAAAAUUUUAAUAUUAAUUUAUAUUGAACAUGAUAAUAAAUGUGCACAC
rnacentral:rRNA from 1 species